ensembl:lncRNA
CGAGGAGAGGAGAGAUAUUUUCAGUCUCGCUGUCUUUAUAGCAGAGCUUUUCUCCGGUGAGGGGGCUGGUGAGGAUUAGGGAUCUACGUCGGUCAGGAGGUUGGAUUGAGAGCAGGAGAUAUUCCUUGAAAUGCUGGGGCUGUUUAUUCAUCUCAGGAUAGACGGAUGGAGGAAAGUGAAUGAGGUGGGAGGUAAAAGGCAGAAGAGAAGACAGCCCUGAGGAGCUCAGAACCUACAGUACAAUAUAAUACAGGACGCCUCAGUACGGGACAGGAGUGGCUUUGAACCGGAGAAGCGGGUAUGAAAACGUCUUCAAGGAGGAAGUCAUUCACUGUGUCGCAGGUGACUGGCGGCUCGCAGAGGUCUGCACAAUCAGGUAGGUGGAACACCAGGAGGCACCCAGGAGUUUCCAACCAGCUUUGCUGAGGUAGUUUCUCCAAAAACAUCCCUUCAGAUCCGAGCUAAAUUCCUUGCACCACUUCUGUCAUGGCUCUAGCCGGCUGUGUAACCACACCCUCUGGUGUUCAUCUGGGAAAUUAGCAACUGAACAAAUACAGCCAGCUUCCGUCCUCAAACAGCAGCAGCCUUUGAGCUACACCUGCAUCCACUUUGCUAAAGGAAGCUUGCCAGGCCAUGAAUAUACAAGAAUGUCCUUUUCUGUAUUAAACCUAUUAACAGUGUCAAUCAGAAGACUUGUUGAGUAAAGAACUGCACUCAGAAACUGAUUUCAUUUGGUGACGUAGAUGUUUGUACACAGUCUCUAGCACCAUAUGAAAUCAGUGUUCUGGGAGGUGGACUAUCAGACUCUGUACAUGAAUAAACUGAAAUAUGAUGCCAUGAAAGUAGUUUGAAUUGCAUCCGGUUUCUACUGCCUCGCUGCUCAAAGCUGCUGACUGGCUUCUUAAGUCUUCAUCAAAAUUGUGCCUCAAUUCUUCUGUGAACUCUUUCCCCUGAUGGUAAAUGUAUUAUUGAACUUCUGAUUUUGUUAAAUAAAGAUAAACUUAUAUUUUGUGGUUAUAAAGAAUGUAAUUUUUUAUAUGGGUUUUUGUAUUGUGUUUAAUAAAGGUAAAGAUCAAUAAAGCACACACAAGCAGCUGGAGCUGGGCGAUAUGAGAUUUUUUCAUAUCACGAUAUGUUUUUUUCAUUUCAGGCGAUAACGAUAUCUAUCACGAUAUAAGCCAAAUAACUAUAUUUGUAAGAUUUAAAUGUGCCGUUGCUCACAAGUAAAAUGUGAAAUAAUCAGCAGCUUGUUUUUAUUUAAAUAUUUAUUUCCCAUAAUAAGUUCAACAGGGUAGAUGUACUUAAGGAACAUGAGACUUUUUCAGAUAAAUAAAGGCAAAUAUUGCAAACUACACAAAAGGCAGCCGCUAAAGCGUUUAAGUUUCAAAAUAAAACAAACGAAACAGACUAAAUUGUCAAUUCCACUUAGAAACAAAAUAUUAAUUCUAAAAAUAAAUCUUAGUUUGUUUUACAGAAGAACAGACAAAACUGACUAACUUUUGUCAAUAUCAAAUAAACUGAGAACUAAAAGGAAAUUCUCAAUCUCUCCUUGUUGUAUAGCUGAGCUUUUCAAACAGUUUUAACAGUUACUUUAGUCUGACAAAAGCCGAAUGACGAAUUAGCGCUUCCAGUCAGAGACUGAGGCUACGUCCACACGUACACGGGUAUUUUUGAAAACGGAGAUUUUCCGUUUUCGUUUUAAAAAUAAUCCCGUCCACACAUAAAGGCAGAAAUAAAGGAAAACGCUGCUAUGAACAUGCCAAAGCAGCAGGUGGCGCUAGAUUCCUAACCGUGCAGAAAUGUUGGCCAAUCAGAAGUCUAGAAGCCUCGGUGGGAAAAAGUACACAAAGCUGCGGCAUAGAAGCAGAACAGAGUCGUAUGUGUGGAGGGACAGUAACUGUGUGUAUAUGUAAGCAUUUAAACACUGCAGAGAGUAGAAUUAACAGUAACAGUAUUGUAGAAAUUCAUUUCACCGAAACAAUAACGUGGCGCACAGUGUGACGCAUGCACCAGUUUAUUGUAUUUCCAGACUUGCUUUCGGCACAAUUUACAGUGCACGCUACUCUGUUUUUUGUCAGACUUGAAAUAGCCGAAAUACCUUCACACUACGGAGCUUCUAUGGCUCUUCCGUUCGACAAUCUCUCCGGCACUGGAACCAUCAUCUGUUUUCUCUUCGGUCACGCUCGGUUGAUUUUUCUAGUCGGCACACUCAUUUCCUCCAUUACCCGCUGGCUGCUUCCCAAACAAACACACGUGCGGCUUGGCACUUGUGCUGUAUGUAACAAGUCAUGCGACGUGACGCUGCGGCUGUGAUUGGUUCGGCUCUGCGCUACUUAAUUUGGAUUGGCUGACCUUUUUUUUUUUUUUUUUUUUUAAGAGGACAAGAGCGGCGAGGUCUAUCGCGAUAGCUUAAUUUCUCUAUCGAGUAAAAGUUAUAUCGCGAUACAUAUCGUUAUCGUUCUAUCGCCCAGCUCUACAAGCAGCUACUGCCUAUGUUCUGAAAGAGAUAAUUAUAUCAUUGAUUAAAGUUUCAGUUGCACUCCAUGUUUCUCAUUUCUAUGUGAAAUUAGUUGAAACGACUGGUGAAUGGUGUCCAAGUGAGGACUUGUUAAAGAUAUUUACCAUUUAGAUGCCUUAAAGUCAUUUAACAAUAAUGUCUUUAAUAAAGUAAAAGUUAAAUUAAGGUUUCAUGGAUGAAAUAUUGGGUUUGAUUCUCUUCUCUCCCUGGGCACAUCUGUGUGGAGUUUGAAUGUUCCCUGUGUUUCCAAAGAGCAGGACUCCUCUGGGUGACAAUGCUUUGUUCAUACAAGGAGUCAGAGGAGAAUGGCCAGACUGCUUUGGGCUGAUAUUACAGCA